rnacentral:rRNA from 1 species
CCUACGGGGGGCAGCAGUGAGGAAUAUUGGUCAAUGGACGCAAGCCUGAACCAGCCAAGCCGCGUGAAGGCUGACUGCCCUACGGGUUGUAAACUUCUUUUGUACGGGAGUAAAGUCCGGUACGUGUGCCGGGUUGAAUGUACCUUACGAAUAAGGAUCGGCUAACUCCGUGCCAGCAGCCGCGGUAAUACGGAGGAUCCGAGCGUUAUCCGGAUUUAUUGGGUUUAAAGGGUGCGUAGGCGGGUUGUUAAGUUAGGGGUGAAAGUUUGGGGCUCAACCCCGAAACUGCCUUUGAUACUGGCGGCCUUGAGUAUAGGUGAGGUAGGCGGAAUGCGUGGUGUAGCGGUGAAAUGCUUAGAUAUCACGCAGAACACCGAUUGCGAAGGCAGCUUACCAAAC